GCGUAGUGGACGGCUCGGUUCCCGUGUCGAUGAAGGACGUAGCGAAAUACGAAAGGUGUUGCGAAUUGCAAGAUUUCGUGAGUCAAUGAAUAUCCGAAUGCAUUGUCGUCCCUUCGCAGCUUCGG
rnacentral:rRNA from 1 species